rnacentral:rRNA from 1 species
CCUGGCGGCUUUAGCGCGGUGGUCCCACACCUGACCCCAUGCCGAACUCAGAAGUGAAACGCCGUAGCGCCGAUGGUAGUGUGGGGUCUCCCCAUGUGAGAGUAGGGAACUGCCAGGC